rnacentral:lncRNA from 1 species
GAAAGGUUUCACCAGGGUUAUAUAACACACAGUAAGUGGUCAAUGAUGUAGGGUAGUUGUGUUACUAUUCCUGAGAGGCAGGAACCCUCCUUGCUCCCAUAACCCCCAGAGCAAAGGAGUUGGGCAGUAGGGUCUUGUGACCGUGGCUUGAGUGCGUCAGCAUCUCACAGGGUCAGGUUUGGGAAUAGUCCCCAUUGUGGUCUUGUCAUAGAGGACAGAUUCCCAAGGAGGAACAAAGGGGCCUGAAAAUCAGGCCAGGGAGAAAAAGACCAUUUUGGGGUUAUUUAGCGCUUAUUAAUUGGUCACCUCGUUAGCAGCCCAUCUGCAGUCUGACUCCAGCAAGUGAGUGGGUGAAAGGGAGGGGGUGCCCUGACCAAAACUGGCUUCACAGAUUCAAUAAUAAGGACAGAGCAAUUACCGGAACUUCUAGAGCCAAUUCCCGUUAGGAGCAUGCCAGGCCGGGCUUUGUCCUACGGAGAAGAGGAAAAGGUCAGUGUGCUCUGUAGGAGGAGAAAAAAAGAGCCCUUCACAGGGAAAGAGCCUGCCUGAGGGAGGGAGACAAAGAAAAGGAGGGCUCUGUGGAGGUGAAAAACUAAAGAAAGAAUGACAUUUGGAAGUUCCUCAGAAUGAGGAGAGGAGAAUAAUAAAAUAAAAAUUACAAGGGAGAAGGCGCCAGUGGACAAACAAGGAGAGGCCAAGGGAAAGAGCGCUGGAGGAUCACUACUGCCCUGGAAAGCAGCUGGUGGAGGUGGCCUGGCAGG